rnacentral:rRNA from 1 species
UACAGAGGGUGCGAGCGUUGUCCGGAAUCACUGGGCGUAAAGGGCGCGUAGGUGGUGGCUUAAGCGUGCGGUGAAAGCUCGGGGCUCAACCCCGAGUCGGCCGUGCGAACUGGGCUCACUGGAGCAUAGUAGAGGCAGGUGGAAUUCCGGGUGUAGCGGUGGAAUGCGUAGAUAUCGGGAGGAACACCAGUGGCGAAGGCGCCUUCCUGGCCUGUAACUGACGCUGAUACGCGAAAGCGUGGGGAGCAAACCGG